AAAAUUCACAAGAUCUGAUUUUUUUCCCUCAUAACUUUCAGGAAAAUGGAUAUAUAUUGAUGACAUUUUAUUAAAAUACCGUUCAAAUGGCACAAAUUAUGAUUAUAAAGAAAUUUCUGGGGAAGAUGUUUUCCGAAGGGGUGGGAACAGGAUUUCUGAAAAUUCACAUGAUCCAAAUUCACUCUGUUG